rnacentral:rRNA from 1 species
GACGAACGCUGGCGGCGUGCCUAAUACAUGCAAGUAGAACGAGUUGCGAACGGGUGAGUAACGCGUGGUAACCUGCCUCAUAGCGGGGGGUAACUAUUGGAAACGAUAGCUAAUACCGGAUACUUUGGGAGGGACCUGGGUUGGAUUAGCUAGUUGGUGAGGUAAAGGCUCACCAAGGCGACGAUACAUAGCCGACCUGAGAGGAUGACCAGCCACACUGGAACUGAGACACGGUCCAGACUCCUACGGGAGGCAGCAGUGGGGAAUAUUGGACAAUGGGCGAAAGCCUGAUGCAGCCAUGCCGCGUGUGUGAAGAAGGCCUUCGGGUUGUAAAGUACUUUCAGCGGGGAGGCGUUACCCGCAGAAGAAGCACCGGCUAACUCCGUGCCAGCAGCCGCGGUAAUAC